CCGAGUUUACAACUCCCAAACCCAAUGUGAACGUUACCAAACUGUUGCCUCGGCGGGAUCUCUGCCCCGGGUGCGUCGCAGCCCCGGACCAAGGCGCCCGCCGGAGGACCAACCAAAACUCUUAUUGUAUACCCCCUCGCGGGUUUUUUACUAUCUGAGCCAUCUCGGCGCCCCUCGUGGGCGUUUCGAAAAUGAAUCA
rnacentral:misc_RNA from 4 species